rnacentral:rRNA from 1 species
CAAUAGCGUAUAUUAAAGUUGUUGCAGUUAAAAAGCUCGUAGUUGGAUUUCUGGUGGGAGCGAUCGGUCUGGCGCUUAGCGCGAGUACUUGCAUCGUCUCCGGCCAUCCUUGGGGAGAGUCUGUCUGGCAUUAGGUUGUCGGGCAGAGGAUCCUCAUCGUUUACUGUGAAAAAAUUAGAGUGUUCAAAGCAGGCUUAUGCCGUUGAAUAUAUUAGCAUGGAAUAAUAAGAUAGGACUUUGGUACUAUUUUGUUGGUUUGCGCACCAAAGUAAUGAUUAAUAGGUACAGUUGGGGGUAUUCGUAUUCCGUUGUCAGAGGUGAAAUUCUUGGAUUUACGGAAGACGAACUACUGCGAAAGCAUUUACCAAGGAUGUUUUCAUUAA